GACGAACGCUGGCGGCGUGCCUAAUACAUGCAAGUUGAGCGCUGAAGGUUGGUACUUGUACCAACUGGAUGAGCAGCGAACGGGUGAGUAACGCGUGGGGAAUCUACCUUUGAGCGGGGGACAACAUUUGGAAACGAAUGCUAAUACCGCAUAAAAACUUUAAACACAAGUUUUAAGUUUGAAAGAUGCAAUUGCAUCACUCAAAGAUGAUCCCGCGUUGUAUUAGCUAGUUGGUGAGGUAAAGGCUCACCAAGGCGAUGAUACAUAGCCGACCUGAGAGGGUGAUCGGCCACAUUGGGACUGGGACACGGCCCAAACUCCUACGGGAGGCAGCAGUAGGGAAUCUUCGGCAAUGGACGAAAGUCUGACCGAGCAACGCCGCGUGAGUGAAGAAGGUUUUCGGAUCGUAAAACUCUGUUGGUAGAGAAGAACGUUGGUGAGAGUGGAAAGCUCAUCAAGUGACGGUAACUACCCAGAAAGGGACGGCUAACUACGUG
rnacentral:rRNA from 1 species